rnacentral:sRNA from 1 species
AGAAGAUCCAGACCGUGUUCGAGCAGCUGGUGCUGGUGGACCACCCCAACAUCGUGAAGUUGCACAAGUACUGGCUGGAUACUUCUGAGGCCUGCGCGAGGGUGAGCACGGGCAAGGCCCCGGGCAGGCAGAGACCACAGCUAGGUGGGGCGGGCAUGGGGACGAACCCGCAGCUGGUGGAAAUCCUGAGCUCGCACCCUGCAGGUCAUCUUCAUCACAGAGUACGUGUCAUCAGGCAGCCUCAAGCAAUUCCUCAAAAAGACCAAGAAGAACCACAAGGCCAUGAACGCCCGGGUAUGGGGAGCCGGCUGGGGCAGCCACGGGGACAGGACGGGGUUGGGGCAGCCUCGGGGACUGGGAUGGUGAGGGGGUGCCCGGCGGCCUCGGACAGGGGCUGGGCGAGGAUGCGGGGCGGGCUCCGCAGGCCCAGCCGCCUCUCCUGCGCCCACCCGACGGAGUCGUGCGUCCGCCGCCAGGCCUGGAAGCGCUGGUGCACGCAGAUCCUGUCUGCGCUCAGCUUCCUGCACGCCUGCAGCCCCCCGAUCAUCCACGGGAACCUGACCAGCGACACCAUCUUCAUUCAGCACAACGGCCUCAUCAAGAUCGGCUCCGUGUGGCAUCGAAUCUUCUCCAAUGGUAGGUGCGGACUCUGGGGGGAUGGGGUCCUGGAGAAGUCCCCACCGGCUGAGCCUCUGCGCCCUUCCACAGCGCUUCCAGAUAAUCUCCGAAGCCCCAUCCGCGCUGAGCGAGAGGAACUUCGGAACCUGCACUUCUUCCCCCCAGAGUACGGGGGUGAGUGGCACUGGGUCCGGGUGCCCCGUGCCUGCCCUGCGCUUCUCUCCUACCUGUCCUGUUCUCUCUCCUGUUCAGAGGUGGCCGAUGGGACCGCUGUGGACAUCUUCUCCUUUGGGAUGUGUGCGCUGGAGAUGGCUGUACUGGAAAUCCAGACCAACGGGGACACCCGGGUCACAGAGGAGGCCAUUGCUCGCGCCAGGCACUCGCUGAGUGACCCCAACAUGCGGGAGUUCAUCCUUUGCUGCCUGGCCCGGGACCCUGCCCACCGGCCUUCUGCCCACAGCCUCCUCUUCCACCGCGUGCUCUUCGAGGUGCACUCGCUGAAGCUCCUGGCAGCCCACUGCUUUAUCCAGCACCAGUACCUCAUGCCUGAGAAUGUGGUGGAGGAGAAGACCAAGGCCAUGGACCUGCACGCGGUCUUGGCGGAGCUUCCCCGGCCCCGCAGGCCCCCGCUGCAGUGGCGGUACUCGGAAGUCUCCUUCAUGGAACUGGACAAAUUCCUGGAGGAUGUCAGGUGAGAACUGAUGUAAGGUUGGGGGCCAGGCAGCUGUCAGGCCUGAACCCCCAGCCACCCUGGUGUGUCCCCAGGAAUGGGAUCUACCCACUGAUGAACUUUGCAGUUACUCGGCCCCUGGGGCUGCCCCGUGUGCUGGCCCCACCCCCAGAGGAGGUCCAAAAGGCCAAGACCCCGACGCCAGAGCCCUUUGACUCUGAGACCAGAAAGGUCAUCCAGAUGCAGUGCAACCUGGAGAGAAGCGAGGACAAGGCGCGCUGGCAUCUUACUCUGCUUCUGGUGCUGGAGGACCGGCUGCACCGGCAGCUGACCUACGACCUGCUCCCAACGGACAGCGCCCAGGACCUCGCCUCGGAGCUCGUGCACUACGGCUUCCUCCACGAGGUGUGCUGGGCGGUGCGGCGCGGCCUGGCGGAGGGGGCGCGCGGGGCAGGCCGUGCCCCUCCAUCCCCCAUGCCUCCCUCCUUCCGCAGGACGACCGGAUGAAGCUGGCCGCCUUCCUGGAGAGCACCUUCCUCAAGUACCGUGGGACCCAGGCCUGACCCGGAGCCCCAGCCCCAGGGGACCAUGCCGGGGUGCUGCCUGGGCAGGCCAUGUUAGGGAGACCCCAGCACCGCGGGGCUGCCCUCCUUCAUGUGCCUGGGAGCACAAAGGCCCCGGUAGUGAAGGAACCCCCGCCUCCUGAGAGUGGGGCUGACCCUGCCUCAGGCGCCGAGGGGUUGGGGGGUGGGUGUGGGGGAGCCGUUAGGCCUCCCAGGUCCUUAGGAUCAGGGUUGCCCCCGGAACCCCUUCCCAUAUCCUCCAUUCUCCACCCUGAGUUCCUACCCAGGCUGCCUGGCCAGGGCCACUGCCUCAUCAGCAUGCAGGAGGCUGCCCUGUAGGGAACCCCAGCUCUGAGGCUUGGGGGUGAGGGUCAGCCCUGGACAGACCUCUGCCCAGGGAACUGCUCCAUGGGGUCUGGGAGAGCAGCCAUCCCCGGCUGGCACCACAGACCCACACAAGGAGCCUGCACAGCAAGCCAGCGGUGACACACCUGCAGGUGUCAGGCAUGGCACUGGGCACAACAGGGACCUGGCAGGAGAAACAGACCACAGAGAGGUCUGGAGUUGAGGCUGUCGUCAGCAAAGCCCCUGGUCCCACACAGCUCUGCCCUAGAGCCACCUCUUUGACCCUUUACCCACCCGGAGACCAGAACCCGCAGCCCCUCUGCAGAUCUCCUCUGGCCACUGCACCCCUCCAGUGGGCUUUUUCUCUGAUGCACUCCCUGGCCUGGAGGGGUCAGGGACCCCACAUCCUCUCUGCUCCUCAGACUCACACCCCCUCCAUGUUACCUCCCGCACCUCCUCCCUGGGGCAGCUGCUCCCUGGGCCUCUGAGGAUGUCAGCUCCUGGCUCCCUGCCUGUCUCCCACUGCACUCCGGGCUGACUGAGAGAUGUCUAUGCCCUCAUGCCUUCUACCCCUGCCUUUCUGGCCUCUUGAUUCUCGGCUUGCCACUCCUCCAAUUCCAAACUUAGUGAAAUGGCCUUAAGCAUUUUAAACUGUAUGUAUAAAUAUAGCGCAUUCAUGCCUUUUUAAAAGCAUUUCAAAUGUCAACUAGGAAGCCACACCACUGUAUUAGUUCUAUACUGCCGCUGUAAAAUUUACCACAAACUUAGUGGCUUAACACAAAUUUAUUGCAAUUCUGUAGGCUGGAAGUCUGACUACGGGUCUCACUGGACUAGAAUCAAGGCUGGCAGGCUGCCUUCCUUCCUGGAGGUUCUAGGGGAGACUCCGUCUCCUGCUCCUUCAGGCUGCUGGCAGAAUCCACAUCCUUUCGGUUGCAGGGCCAAGGUCCCCACUUUCUUGCUGAUUGUAAACUAAGGCCACUUCCAGCUUGUAGAAGCUGCCUACAUUCCUUGGCUCUUGGCCCCCUCCUCCAUCUUCAAAGCUAGCAGGUUCAGUCUGUGUCACGAACCAUUUCUCUGGUUCUCUGCAGACAGGAAAGGUUGUCCCUAAGGACUCAUGAGAUUAGGUUGGGCCCAGCCAGAUAAUACAGGAUAAUCUCUCUCCUCAAGGUUUUUAAUAUUAAACACAUCUGCAGGACACAUUUUGCCACGUAAACUAACAUUCACUGGUUCCAGGGAUUAAGGAAUGAACCUCUUUUGUUGGGGAAGGGUGGCAUUCUGCUGACCACAGCACUCCAACCAAAAGCCAAAAACCAAAGCAAGACUUACUAACGCAUAUCAAAUAAAUUAAAUGUACAAAAUAGUGAAUCUCAGUUAUCUUAAAUAUUCCAAUACUAUUCACAAAAUUAUUCAAAUUCUCACGCCUUCCAACUCAAAAUUAGCAAUCUAAAGUAAUUUCCAUAUCCUAGAUGGAAACCCUCAUGCUAAACUGUCUGAUUAUGCAUGGUCCUAAAUGGUUUCAGUGGCAAAUACAUAACAUUGUACUACUGAUUAAACUGAACUUAAAAGCAUCAAUACUACCAUUGUUGCACUUAAUCAUGUCUCUGUUGAAUUUUUCCUAAGUUUUAUCUUUUCAGAAUUAUAUGUGUAUUGUUUUUAAAGUAGAAUGGUUUUCUUUUUUUGAGGCCAAUAAUAAAUAACAAAUGCAGGCUCCUA